rnacentral:rRNA from 1 species
UACAGAGGGGGCGAGCGUUAUUCGGAAUUAUUGGGCGUAAAGGGCGCGUAGGCGGCCUUUCAAGUGACGGGUGAAAUCCCUCGGCUUAACCGAGGAACUGCCUGUCAGACUGGAAGGCUUGAGACCGGGAGAGGUGAGUGGAAUUCCCAGUGUAGCGGUGAAAUGCGUAGAUAUCUGGAGGAACACCGGUGGCGAAGGCGGCAUCCUGGACCAACACUGACGCUGAGUGAGCGAAAGCCAGGGGAGCAAACGGG